rnacentral:rRNA from 1 species
UGGGGAAUAUUGCGCAAUGGGGGAAACCCUGACGCAGCGACGCCGCGUGCGGGAUGAAGGCCUUCGGGUUGUAAACCGCUUUUGAUUGGGAGCAAGCUUUCGGGUGAGUGUACCUUUCGAAUAAGCGCCGGCUAACUACGUGCCAGCAGCCGCGGUAAUACGUAGGGCGCAAGCGUUAUCCGGAAUUAUUGGGCGUAAAGAGCUUGUAGGCGGUUCGUCGCGUCUGGUGUGAAAGCCCAUCGCUUAACGGUGGGUCUGCGCCGGGUACGGGCGGGCUAGAGUGCAGUAGGGGAGACUGGAAUUCCCGGUGUAACGGUGGAAUGUGUAGAUAUCGGGAAGAACACCAAUGGCGAAGGCAGGUCUCUGGGCUGUUACUGACGCUGAGAAGCGAAAGCGUGGGGAGCGAACAGGAUUAGAUACCCUGGUAGUCCACGCCGUAAACGGUGGACGCUGGAUGUGGGGCCCAUUCCACGGGUUCCGUGUCGGAGCUAACGCGUUAAGCGUCCCGCCUGGGGAGUACGGCCGCAAGGCUAAAACUCAAAGAAAUUGACGGGGGCCCGCACAAGCGGCGGAGCAUGCGGAUUAAUUCGAUGCAACGCGAAGAACCUUACCUGGGCUUGACAUGUGCCUGUCGACUGCAGAGAUGUGGUUUCCCUUCGGGGCAGGUUCACAGGUGGUGCAUGGUCGUCGUCAGCUCGUGUCGUGAGAUGUUGGGUUAAGUCCCGCAACGAGCGCAACCCUCGCCCUGUGUUGCCAGCGGGUUAUGCCGGGAACUCACGGGGGACCGCCGGGGUUAACUCGGAGGAAGGUGGGGAUGACGUCAGAUCAUCAUGCCCCUUACGUCCAGGGCUUCACGCAUGCUACAAUGGCCGGUACAACGGGAUGCGACAUGGUGACAUG